rnacentral:misc_RNA from 1 species
CGCUGAAAGAAACUGGAGGAGGUGUGUUUGCGCAUGGGUACACUCGCGCACGAAAGUACUACUGUUUUAUUUUUUAAUUAGGCUUUCACUCACGGCUUCCAAUAACAUUUCUUUUUUGUUAUUGAAAUGUCAUAUUUAAAAAAUGUUAAUUAUCUUUAUUCUCAAAAUUUGUAUUUUAAUAGUUUUUAUGUGUUUAAAAUGAUAAAU